AUGCUAUGUAUUUAUUACUUUUGUAAUGUACUCUUUUUUUUGUUUGUUUCAUUUAUAGCAGACAAUUGUUCAGAAUGCAUGGAACGGCUGGAGAACAACAGCUUUCCAUACCAGACGAUAUUGAAAAACAGAAUGAAAGGAGUGGCAAUUGCUUCAGAGGGAGAACUGUAUCAAGUUCCACCAUAUGUAAAUGGAACAACACUUCAGUGCUAUUCCAAAGAAUUAAAACAGUUCCUUGUCUCUUGCCCCAGUCUUGAGACAAAGAUCAUCACAAUGAAGAAGGAACACAAGUUGUUGCCUAUAAAAAACAAGUUCAGGCGUUGAUCUUUCUUACUUUCUUUUUUCUUUCUUUCUUAUUUCUUUCUUUUUUUCUUUCUUUCAAUUGAGUGAAUAAUUAAGCAGCUUUUUUUCCAUCUGUUCAAGUGUUUAUAAUAAUUGUGUGAUAAAAGUUUGUAAGAAAGUUUGUUUAUGCG
rnacentral:lncRNA from 1 species